GACUUGAAUCCAGAUCCCCCAAUUGCCGGUUGGAUGCUUUACCAUUAAGCUACCUGGGACUCCAACAGACUCCAGGUAGCUUAAUGGUAAAGCACCCAACCGGCAAUUGGGGGAUCUGGGUU
rnacentral:pre_miRNA from 1 species